GACCGCGACCCCAGGUCAGGCGGAUAC
rnacentral:rRNA from 13 species